AUGCAGAUGGAAGAUGUUGAAGAACAUGAAUUUGGAGAACAUGUUAAAGCCAUGGAACUGCCUUCAAAUAGGAAAAGUGUAGAAUGCAGUAAACCUAGUCUAAACUCCGGACACAGAGAUAGUUCUGAAAAGUUUCCUGCUGAAAUGGUAGUUUACACAUCUGAAGUAUGCAGUAGAACAACAGAUUAUCAACACGCUUCUUCAGAUGCCCUAGGUUGUCAUGACUGUAGUGAGGAAGAUGGAAUAUCUGUAAAGACGAAAACAGUCAGCAGCAGCAGAAAUGUAAGUAGAGGACUGAAAAUCAGAAUCCAUGUAUUCUGGCUCAAGAUACUGAGUUUGACCUAA
rnacentral:lncRNA from 1 species